UUUUCUGUUUUUAUUGUAACCGGAACCACCGUUUCGAUGACGUAUUAAUAUGCACUUAUGAUAACGCUGGAAUGAAUGAAAGAAACAUCUUAAAAUAAGCCUUUUUAUACCAUCUGCAGGUAAAUUAUUAUUGUAUUAAUUAUUUCCUGGCCUUUAUAUUAUUAUAAAUUGCUUUUAUUGUUUGUGUAAAGUCCUCAACACAUAUAUAAACAUGAUAAACACAUCAAAACAAACAAUAUUCAUACGGCAAACCAUUGCCGACGUAUUUUCAUAUUUUUGUAUCAUUAUUGGUGUAUACAACAGCAC
rnacentral:lncRNA from 1 species